GGCGGCGUGGAUUAGGCAUGCAAGUCGAACGGUAUAAACCUUCGGGGUUUAGAGAGUGGCGAACGGGUGAGUAACACGUAGGUAAUCUACCCUCAAAACGGGGACAACCCAGGGAAACUUGGGCUAAUACCGGAUGCGUGCAAACAAUGUUUUGGCUGUUGUAAUUAUUCACGGAAGUGGAUAGUUAUGAGAGUUUCAGAGCAUAAUUUGCAUAAAAGGUGGCGUAAGCUGCCGUUUGAGGAUGAGCCUGCGUCCUAUUAGUUAGUUGGUGAGGUAAUGGCUUACCAAGGCGAUGAUAGGUAGGCGGCCUUAACGGGUGGUCGCCCACACUGGGAUUGAGAUACGGCCCAGACUCCUACGGGAGGCAGCAGUCGAGAAUAGUCUACAAUGGACGAAAGUCUGAUAGUGCGACGCCGCGUGAACGAAGAAUCCUUUCGGGGUGUAAAGUUCUUUUCUAUGUGAGCAGUUCCUUUUAUAUGAAGAGUAUAGAAGGUGGGAUUUAAGCAUAGGAAUAAGCAACGGCUAACUCCGUG
rnacentral:rRNA from 1 species